GACGUAGGAGGCGAGCGUUGUCCGGAUUCAUUGGGCGUAAAGAGCUCGUAGGCGGUUUGUCGCGUCUGCUGUGAAAACCCGAGGCUCAACCUCGGGCCUGCAGUGGGUACGGGCAGACUAGAGUGCGGUAGGGGAGAUUGGAAUUCCUGGUGUAGCGGUGAAAUGCGCAGAUAUCAGGAGGAACACCGGUGGCGAAGGCGGGUCUCUGGGCCGAUACUGACGUGAGGAGCGAAAAGCGUGGGGGAGCGAACAGG
rnacentral:rRNA from 1 species